AGUCCCGUAGCUCAGCUGGUUAGAGCGCUACACUGAUAAUGUAGAGGUCCCCAGUUCAAAUCUGGGCGGGACUA
rnacentral:tRNA from 1 species